rfam:Schistosoma haematobium scaffold297_5, whole genome shotgun sequence.
AGACUGCUGAGGAGUCCCAUACUAGGACGAAACGGCCGUCCAGUGC